rnacentral:lncRNA from 1 species
AUGAGUGUUACUUGAGUGAGUCUUACUUGAAUAGGUAUUAUUUGAGUCUUACCUGAGUGGGUAUUAUUUGAGUGUGACUUGAGUGGGCAUUAGUUAAGUCUUAUUUAUGUAAGCGUUAUUUAUCUUACGUGAGUUUUAAUUAAGUCUUAACUGAGUCUGAAAGGUAUCUCACCUGCCCUACACCUGCUCCAUAUGUAAUUCCUGAUUUAUUUAUAUAUUUAGUUUUCUUUGUUUAUUAAGUAUUUAGUUAUUUUAUGUUUCUAUAAGCAUUGCAUGUGUGUGUGUAUGUGUGUGUGUGUGAACCAAUUCAUCUUUUCGUGUUUAUGCUUUUGUCUGUCUGUCUGUCUGUGCACCUGUCUGUCUGUCUGUCUGUCAGCGCAUGUCUCCGUAUUUUACAGAACCGAGAGCUGGGAUUAUCGCUUCACCAAUAACUGGAUGAGAUACCGUUGAAACUAAGAGAAAUGAAGGAACAAAGGGUGAGAGACGAGGGUGUUGGUGUGUGUUGCUUGUGUUGCCUACGCUGAGGAGGAGCAGACUACAGCAGACUACAGCAGGGAACAGUAGACUACAGCAGGAAGCAGCAGGAAAUAGCAGAUUACAGCAGGGAUUACCAGAUUAAAGUAGGGUACAGAAGACUACAGCAGGAAACAGCAGACUACAGCAGACUACAGCAGGAAGCAGCAACUACUACUAGAGGAAACAGUAGACUACAGAAGGAAGCAGCAACAACUACUAGAGGAAACAGUAGACAACAGCAGGAACAGAAAACUACUUCAGGAAACAACAGAGUACAGCAACAUAACAGUAAAUAAUAUUAGACAGCGGUAGAGAACAGCACAGUACUUGAUAACAGCCUCGAACAAUACCAAACAGAUGCACAAAAAAACAAUACUCAACAUCAGACAACAAAAACAGACACAACAGAUAAAAACACAGACAAUAACAGACACCGGAAACAUACUACAACAGAAAAUUGCAACAGACACGAGCAGACAAGCGCGUAGAGAAACAGGUCAACCCAGUUUCCUCUGUGGUAAAGCUAGGUCAGGUCAGGUCAUAAUAUACCAAAUCAAAACCAAGGUCAUGUAUUCGUGGUCUGUUGGUUAUAUGGACUCGGGAUAAGGUCAAAAGAGGUCAUUAGAGGUCCGGUUAGCUUUGGUUAUCUAGAAAGGGAAUGAGGUUAAAUGACAUCGUUCCGUGCCAGGUCAGUUUAGGUCACUUAAUGACCUUGGUCAAGGUGAAGAAGAGAUGACUUACUUGAACCUAAAGGAUUGUCAUUUUGUUCUAAGUCUGUUUAACUGGAUAACUGGAAUGCGUUGUCUUAGUAACUGGUAGACUGUCAACUCAAGCUCUCCUCUCAAUGUAAGUGGAAUUCUAUAUACAUAUAUCUAAGAAACAAGAAGUUACUGUUAACUGUUACUGCCAGCACAGUCUCUUCUCGGUCUAAAUGGAUAGCAGGAACAUCUAUCAGUAAACUCCUUUUAUACACGGAAUAAGGCAAUGUUUUGGGUUCUAUAUUAAAAUAUUUAAUUCUAUCUAAUUUCUUGUACUGUACAUAGAGGAACGAGAAGUCUUCCUCGUGUGUGUGUGUGUGUGUGUCCUCGCCUCUCAUACUUAUGUAAAGACAGACCCACGCUGAUUCGGGUUGAAUGUUAUUAAUACCAGGUUUGGAUCGAAUGUAAACAACAGUUGAUGUAAACAACAAUUGAUGUAAACAGGUUAUAUAAUCAGGUUCUGUAAACAGGUGAUGUAAACAUCUGAUGAUGUAAAUAACAGUUGAUGUAAACAACGGAUGAUACGCACAAAAGUUGAUGUAAACAGCAGAUGAUAUAAACAACAGGCGAUGUAAACAAAUGAUAUAAAC